GAUGAAGAACGUAGCGAAAUGCGAUAAGUAAUGUGAAUUGCAGAAUUCAGUGAAUCAUCGAAUCUUUGAACGCACAUUGCGCCCUCUGGUAUUCCGGGGGGCAUGCCUGUUCGAGCGUCAUUAUAACCACUCAAGCUCUCGCUUGGUAUUGGGGUUCGCGGUUUCGCGGCCCCUAAAAUCAGUGGCGGUGCCUGUCGGCUCUACGCGUAGUAAUACUUCUCGCGAUUGAGUUCGAUAGGUCUACUUGCCAGUAACCCCCAAUUUUUACAGGUUGACCUCGGAUCAGGUAGGGAUACCCGCUGAACUUAAGCAUAUCAAUAUGCGGAGGA
rnacentral:misc_RNA from 1 species